rnacentral:rRNA from 1 species
GAUGAACGCUGGCGGCGUGCCUAAUACAUGCAAGUCGAACGCUUCACUUCGGGGAAGAGUGGCGAACGGGUGAGUAAUACAUAAGUAACCUGGCAUCUACAGGGGGAUAACUGAUGGAAACGUCAGCUAAGACCGCAUAGGUGUAGAGAUCGCAUGAACUCUAUAUGAAAAGUGCUACGGGACUGGUAGAUGAUGGACUUAUGGCGCAUUAGCUGGUUGGUAGGGUAACGGCCUACCAAGGCGACGAUUCGUAGACGACCUGAGAGGGUGACCGGCCACCCUUGGGCUGAGAGACGGCCCAGACUCCGACGGGAGGCAGCAGUAGGGAAUUUUCGGCAAUGUGGGAAACCCUGACCGAGGAACGCCGCGGGAAGGAAGAAGUAAUUCGUUAUGUAAACUUCUGUCAUAGAGGAAGAACGGUGGAUAUAGGGAAUGAUAUCCAAGUGACGGUACUCUAUAAGAAAGCCACGGCUAACUACGUGCCAGCCGCCGCAGUAA